GGCUGUGGGUCCCCUCAUACUGCACAAGAGCCUCCACUGCCCUGUGACAGCAACUUCGGAGGGAGGGGCCAGCAGCCGCGAGAGACCGGGGACUGAGGAGCCUCGCCCAAGGUGACACAGGUAGUGUCAGGUCGUGGCCCAGACACUUCUUAGUGCACAGCCUGCGGGGCUGGUCCCGUGGCUGGGGGCAGUUUGAGCAAGAGGAUCUGAACCCAGAUUCCUGGACAGCAACCAAGUAGGGUUUUGGAGGAGGUGGGACCCAGCAGUCGGGUCUUGGGCGGGGUCAGUUCUGGUCCAAUAAUCCUAACUAUUAAAGUCCUGACAAAGUUUUACUCAAAGCAGUAAAAGAAAGCAGGGGAGGGGAUGACAGAUGAUUCCUGACCUGCACACUUAGGCACGAGGUGUGGACCCCCUACCCUUCCGUCUGUGCAAGGCAGAGUUCCCUCCCAAGACCGUGGAUUCCUUAAGGAGAGCCUUCCUGUCUACACCUCACAGGGGGCCUAGGACGGUGGUGAGUUACGGAGUGGACAGACUCCUAGCGGCCCUGCUCACUGUUGGGUGAAACAGGUCCCCCCGAGACAGGAUGAAAAGACAAGGACAGGAGUACCAAGACAGCCAGAGCUCAGAAUGAAUUCAGACAAGAAAGCCCAGGGGGAGUGGGAAGGUGAAUGGGCUUCAGAGGCAGGAGAGCAGGGCGGAUGCCUGGGGAGGGCAGGGCGGCAGUGUGCUCAGAGGUCAAAGGUCUCUGCUGCUUCCCACACCUAAAUUUUGACUUUCUUCUCAGAGAGAACGGUUUUCAUGGCAGGAACAGAAGAGACCCCGUUAGGAGCCAGGUGAAGCGAGCAGAUGGUACGAGGGACCCAGGUCGCUUUAAAUGAUCAGGCUUCCGGGGUCAGACAGGUCCGAUUCUGUGGACCAGCCAUCCCUGAAAAGUCACAGCACAGCUUCCAGGACACGGGGGGAGGGCGGAGACUGACACUACUUUCACCAAAAAGGAAGAUAUGAGUUGGAGAUUCAACACGGACGCACACCAGCCCUGGUGACAGCAUCGAGGCUCCAAAUGAUCAGAACCCAGGGACGUGGGCUGGUACGGGGACACGACAGCUGCCAAGUGCAGGGUCAUCUACUCCGCUCAGUCCCUGUAAGAGAACUCUGUCUGCAACCCAAGGAAGCGGAAGCUCAAAGAUGUCAAGGCAUCUGCCCGGGUCACGGCAGGUCUCGGCUGGCUGGGGUGAGUGCAAACCACAUUCUCCGGCUCCAACGUGAACCUCACCAAGUACAGAAUGGGAACCAAGUCCUGCGAAGAGACGCGUGGUUUCGAGAGGAUUUCAAGCUUGAGGACAACGUGAUGUGGCUGCCACAAGAGCUUCCACGCAACUUCAGCUACAGAGAUGAGCCGUUACCGGUGCCUGGUCAGGGGCAGCCCAGCUGCGUGGUGUCGGCCCCUCUCCCUCCGGGCUGCCCGGCCCGGCCACGUCUGCAGGGCAGGACUCAGUUUAGGGUGCUGGGUUUUAAGAAACCCGUGGGCAAAGCUGGAGGUCCGGUGCUUGCAAGGUCUCAACACCCUGACCCCAAGAAACGGGCAGGAAUGGGGUAUCUGGCCUGCCCCUGGCGACCCUGAGGAGCCUCGAGCCUCAGAGAUCACAAGGGCCCCCACCAAACAGAAGUGAGAGCGCUCCUGAACUCGGAAGUGACAGCCACUCCCCACCACGUCAAGUUUCCUAAACACCCUUUGUCCUCCCACAAAGCACGGUCUCUCGCCGCCUUCCCCACGCGGGAGCUAAAUUCCUGGCAACCCCGGGGAAGUGACGAGGCUGAGCUCACCGAGGGCCCCGUCUUAAAUGAGCGCCAACAGCCCAAAGUAAGGCUGGGACUGUUGGCAGAGGGCUUUGGGCCGCCAGGGUUAAGUACAAGCACAUCAGCAGCCCAACCUCUCGGGUAUCAUGAUCUGCUUCCGAUCAACCUUCAAGGGAACGGAAGGGCAGGAGAACACCGGUCGCCCAAAGGUACAAAAGGUCUGGGGUGGGGGCCGGGGGUAGGGGGAGAGUGAGGAGGCCUGGUCUUCUCUAGGAGCAGACUGACUCCCCAGGAGGACACAAGGGGUCCCUAAGCUUGUGGCAGGGGAUCCGAGCCCAAGGAAAAGCCUGGCAGGGACCAGGGACCGGAAAAGGGAAGGAAGACAUGGGCUGGGGGUGCGGGCAAGGAGCCCUGGCGCACACAGACGUGUUUCCACAGCCCCCCUGCCCACACCCCUGCUGACUCCCUCCACACCUGGUCAGGGUCAGCUUGCUGGAAACGCUGACCCACCAAAAAUAGAAUGAUUUUUGCAACGCAUAUAUUAUUACAUCCUUAUAGAAGCGGCUGCCAGAGGAAAACAUUUUUAUGUGCUGUGGCCGCACAGAUGUUCCACAAAGUGGAUCCAACCAAGUCUGAAGUCAGAGCCCAGCCCACUUGUCCCCAUCAAGCUCCUCUCCUCCGCUGUGGCCUGGAGACGGGAAGGACACGCUUUUCCAAACAGGUGUUAUUAGCUCAACGGUGAGAACGCGGAGACUCAGAGAAGGGGAGCGGACUGUCCGGAUCACACAGCUGGUAAGGGAGCAGGGUAGGACUGACCCAGGUCUGGACAAUCCUGAAGCUUGUUUUUCUUCCAUGAGACCUCUCCGUGGGCUCAACUUCAUGCACAUUCUUUCCCAGAAAAAUCAAAGACAAACCACAAUCCGGGGCUCGGAAAUUCCGAACAGUACCCCACCUCAUCCACCUCCCUCCCCCCCCCCCCCCCCCCCGCAGGGCCCCCUGCGGAUCUCCAGUCCCUUCCUCUCCUGCCUGACUGUCCCUAGAAGCUGAUCCCGCCCAGUGCUGAUCCAGGCCACCUCACGGAGCACAAAGAAGCAAGCGAGUGCUCCCUGAGCUGCGGGCCGUGCUCGCCUGCCUCCUGAAGACGCCACGGGCCUCGUUCCCCUGCUAGAACAUACCGCCCGGCCCAACUGCCAAGCUCAAGUCAAAGGGGAUGUCCCUGCCGUGACACAAGGGCAGGUGACUGCCUUGGAGUUUUCUGGCUUAAAGACAAGUCACAGGGCGCCUGCAUCUGAGUGGGGAGAGAGCUCAGCUUGCAAAGGACCCGCCUGAUCCCCCCACUCGACACAACGUUCCACCUUCGUUUCUAAAUGUUUGGAAUCUGAAAAAACUAUCAAACGAACAUCUGGGCCCACCCCGGAUCGGAAACCUUGGAUCUCCUUCCAGAGAUUUAUGGUCUUGCCUCUUGCCCACGUCUCCAGCUGUCACACAGGAGAAGUGACCUCUCAACGCAGCUUCCUUUCUAA